rnacentral:lncRNA from 1 species
ACGAACGAAUUUCUGGCCUGGAGUAACAGGGAAAGUGUACUUGAAUUCGGAACGGGAAACUCGGACCGUCAUAUAAGGCACGGUUUCGGAACCGUCUUGAGUAUCAGCUUCGUAGGCUUGCGAUUUGUUGUGGGAUGAUUCGAAAGGUCCAAAUUUUGAGUUCUUGUCUGCUGCCCAAGAUCUGCCAUCAUUAGCUAAUAAGUCGGUUGUAGCUCCACAAUUCAGGGUGAUAUUAUCCGUUGGAACGUAUGCAGGCUGCUCUGAUGCAACAAAAAUGGCUGACUGAAGGAUGGUUAUGAGAAUUAUUACCGAGUACUUCUCCAUGGAAACAAGUGAAAACUGACUAUGAGUAUAUUUGUCUAUGUAAAUAUAUGUUGAUGGAAUGGGAACAUGUUUUAUCACUAUAUUUGCAAAUUCAUACAGCUUUUUCUUUACAGGUUACGAGUCUUUUUUUUUUCUUUUUUUUUUUAAAAUUUUUAUAUUGCUUCAAAUUAAAGCUAGAUGAUUGGAAAGUUAUAUGGAAAAGGUAGUCGCGAAACUCGUUUGAAUUAAAGAUAUUUUCACAAAAAAAUUGACUGAAGGUCAACCACUUAACUAAUUGAUUUAAAAUAGAAUAACUUACCAUUUGGUACCUAUACGUUUAUAAAAUAUAUAAUAUCAUACAUGUAUUUUGGAAAUGUUUAACUUGGUACCGAACUAUUAGUAUGUGUAUAAAAAAAAGAAGUUAAUACUAAAUUUACAUGAAAGUACUUCUACUUUUUAUGUAUAAUAAAGAUAUUAUAUAAACAUAAAUUAAAAAUAUUAUUUCAAAUGAAAAAUUCUUCGAAGAAAGAAAGAUGAAGUUUUAACUUAUGUAAGUUUAGUUAUUUUUUUUUAAAUUUAAUUUAUUAUUAUUUUUAAUUAUUCAUAUAAUGUUAUAUUAUCGAUAUAGAAUUAAUGUUUUGGAGGGAAAAUUAUACGUAUUGAAUUUUUUUGAUGGUUUAGCAAUUCACUAACCAUGUUAACACCAAGUACCAUAAUAAAACAUAUAUUGAUAGUUAGGUACCACAUUAGAUAUUUUAUAAAAGUAUAUGUAUCAUCAUAAAAUACAUAUUAAUAGUUCAAAUACCACAUCGAACAUUUUCAAGGUACAACUACAAUAUUAAACAUUUAUGAAAGGACAUUUACUAAAUAUUAAAAUUAACUAUAUGGUUCAAAAGUUAAAAUCAUUUUGAAAUUAAAAAAUUAUCAGAACUUUUAAAAAUUUUAUCUAAAUUGUAAUGAGGCCUUGGUGUGGUUUGUCAAGGUGCAGGUUUUUGGUAUUUGAGAAACCAAAUCCAAGUCUUAUUAUGUGUAAUUAGGAUGUGUGGAUAUUUAGUCACAUUAUAUAUAUAUAUAUCAUGUAUGAAUCUUGUAUGAUUCUUUUUAGUUCUUUGUCUGUUGUAUUUUAUAUUAUUUUAAUUCUAAGAGGUAUAAUUACUCAAACUAUUAUUUGUAUUUAUAUUAUUCUUGUGAAUGUAUUAUAUUUAUAAUAAUAAAACUUUCAAAAAUAUAAUCUAAGUUGAACCCAAAUAAUUUUGUACUUAAACGAGGCCACCAACUUGAUCUAGAAAAUGAUGCAUUUGAUAUUUUAAAUAGGUUUAAUUUAAUAACAAGCCUUCAAAUUAUACCAUUUAUUUUAGUUAGGUAAUUAAAAUUUUAUUUAUCGAACUAGAUACUUAAAUUAUAAUUUUAUUGUAAUGAUCUAAUUUUUGACGAUAUCAAAAAAAUAUAAUUAUAAAAUUUAAUUUCAUAAAUCAAGUCAGUAAAAAUAUAAAUAGAAGGAUUUAUGAUGUUAGUAUCAAAUAUAUUAAAGAGAAGUUAAGAAAUUAACUCGAGAAAAUUGUUAAUUAAUGUUUAGGGACUAAAUUAUAAAAAAAUAUAAUCGCUAUGAAAUUUUAAUUUGAAAAAUACUAAAUAACCUAAUUAACAAUAAAAGAUCUAAUAAUUAUUUAACCAUUAAAUUCUUAUGAGAUAGUGGAUGAUUACAAUCAUUUCCAUUCAUUUUCAUUAAGCAUGUUAAUUAUUUAUUAUUAUCAAAAGUUAGAUAAAUAAGUAAGCUUAAUUAUCUUUAAUUGCAAGUAUAAAAAUAAAACAAGUGGGAAAGAGAAUAAGACCAACAUCUUAUUAUUUAGAAUUGUACCGUCCAUGCCCUAAGAAGAAGAAGAAGAAAAACCUUUCAAGCUUUUUAACAAAAGUUAAUUUUAAUUAGUUAAAGUAAGAGAGGUUUUCCUAGAUGAUUUUUAUAGAACUUUAAUCAUCUGAGCCCAUUAAGUUAUGCCCAAGUAUUUGAUUAUCCAAUUUGUUAGUUUAGCUACCAUUAGUUAAUAAUGAUGAAAUUAGACUUGAAAUUGAUAAAAAAUUAGUUUUUCAACUUAGAUUUUACUAAGAUUGUACUAGAAUAUAAUGGAAUUAGCUUAGAACUAAAGGUUUACUUAACUUUGACAUUAGGGACUAAAUUGAUUAAAUUGAAAUCUAUUAAGAAAUUGUGCUAUAGAUUAGAAGUAUAAGGUCCUUAAUGAAAGAAUAUGAAAUUAGAUUAUGAUUCUAUAUUAGAUACCAAAAAAUAUGAACAUUUCGAAUAUAAGGGCUAGAAUGAAUAAAAUUAAAAAUAUGUUUGAUUAUAUGUUUUUGUGUGUUUGGGUGGAAACUAAUAGCAUUUUUAUUAUUGAAUUAUCGAAUAUAGUUGAAGACAACAUCAUGUCGUCUCAAAAUAAAGGAAAAAUGAAAGUUGUAGACGAGUAACUAAUAUGGUUUGUACUUUUAUGAUUUGAAUUCAAUAUAUAUGUCUUAUUACAAACUAGCUUGUUUAAGGUAGGAAUCGUAAUUUUCUCAUUAUUUGGUUUGUCCGAAUCCACCUUUGAUUCAUCGUUGAAGUCCAUGUCCCGAGCAACUGGGAACACUAUAUCCAGGUAGCUACACUCACUUGCCAGGUCCAUCUUCGACAUCUCGGCAUCAGCAGCCAUUUGCAACUCUAUAGCAAUCCCGAACCUUUCCAUCACACCAUUCAUUGAUGGCCUAUCGGUUCCAACAUCUGUUAUGCAACUUUCUGCAAUUUCGACAAACACCUUAAAACACUUUGGAGCUAUCUUUCCAAUCAAAUAUGGAUCAAUAACCUUGUACAGUGUUUCAUCUGCAAUGCAUUGCUUGGCCCAAUGUGCCAGGCUCAUUUGAGAUUCGAGCAAUUUCGUAUUCACAACUUUUCUUGCACACAACACUUCAAAUAACACAACACCAAAUGCAUAUACAUCUGAUUUUUCGGUUAAUUUAUGACCCCGAGCAUACUCCGGGUCCAUGUGGCCGCGGGUGCCCUUUAUCCCGGUUAUGAGCAUCUCGUCUUUGGGGUCUUCUUUUGACAACCCAAAAUCCGAAACCUUGGCAGUAAACUUAUCAUCUAGGAGAAUGUUGCUUGUCUUCACAUCACGGUGGAUAACAGUAUAACUCAUUUCUAUAUGAAGAUAGUUCAAUCCUGUUGCAGUUCCCUUGCAAAUCUCAAGCCUUUGCUUCCAUGUGAGAGGAUCAUAGGCAAAGCUAGUACCGUAAAGAUGAUCCGAGAGAGUCCCAUUACUCAUAAAAUCAUACAACAGAAUCAUCUCUUGUUUCUCAUUGCAGUAUCUAAUUAAGGACACCUGUUGAAAAUUAGCCUACCAUACCGCUAUGAUAUUUUUGGUUAAAGUGCAUGCAGCACAUGAAGCUGUUGUAAUAUCUCCAGAUGAAGUGCAUGCAGCUUGUAAACAUGCUGCAACACAAAUGUUACAAGGCUGUUUAGUUGUAAUAUCUCCGGAUGAAGUACGUGCUAGCAAUUGUACCUGCUGCAACACGAAUGCUUGCUGUAACAGAAGGUUGUUUAGUUACUUUGUUAAGUUACUUAGUUCAAAAUGAACUAAGUUAGUAUUGUUUUGAUAUUUUUAGGUGCUGAUUAUGGAAUCAGCUUUUGUGCAAGUUAACUUUUUAUAGUCCCAAUGUUGACUAGUUUAGGUGGCUUGUUUGUGUAUACAAACAAUGUUUUUAAAGUUACUAAGCUGCUUUUGUAGGUAGCAAUAAGUGAUGUAGUUGGCUAUAUAUGAAUUAUUUUUCUUAUUGAAAAAUCAAACAUAUCAGUUAUUUCUUUCUUGUGACACGUUUGUGAGUAAGUAAAUUUUUCUUGCUUCCUUGUUCUCUAUAUUGCAUUUUUUCCUCUGCUUUGUUUUCCUUUUUAUUGCUGUCAAAAAUCCCAACAACACCAAAUGAACAUGGCGGAGCUGAAACAACAUCUUAAUCUCUAUUAAGAACUCUCCAAUACCUUGACUGGAUUCUAGAUUUAGGCGCUUGAUUGCAACUAUCUUUUCACCUUCAUCUAUGAAACCUUUGAAUACUUUCCCAAACCCACAUUUCCCAACAACUAAAUCAUCAUGGAAAUUGUUGGUAGCAGCUUUGAUCUCAUCCAGUGAAAAAUGGCGGCAUAGCUCAUCUGGUAACAGUGAGGUCCUUGUGGAUUUCCCUUCGUUUUGAUUUACCCACCAGCAAAGCCAACUUGUUCCCUUUCUUUGCUGCUGAACAACCAUGCAAACCAAUAAAGAAAUUAUGGUAAUCAAACCAGCCGCACAUCCAACACAAGCAAUUAGCAAGCUUCUCUUCUUGGUUUUUGCACCUGCAGAAUUGAACGAAUCUGAAGGUGGUGGUGGAGCCACCCGUAGUUCAGGGUUUGGUUCGCCCAAAUUGCCAUCAGAGUUGCUUAAUUUGAACACUUCAAUCCCAUUUAAGAUAACAUCAUAGUACUGAUGAUGAAUAGGAUGCAAAUCUAUGGUGAUGUACUCCUUUGAUACAAACACGACAUAAUCCUUAAAAAUCGAAACUCUGGCAUGUCCGGUCCACAUAAUCACAUCAGCGUUUUCUUCAGCCGUCUGAUUGUUUAUAAAGACCUUAAACGUCCAGUCUCCCGGAGAGUUUAUCAGAUCUUGUGGUUCACAGAAAUGAAGCCUCACCAUAUACUUGAAUCCCGAACCCACGGGCAAUCUCCAUGAUAAGUUAUGCUUCUCGUUGUACGCAAGACUAGGGCCCAUUGUCCGUGCAAUCCGAUAAACCAUCUUCGGUGCCGUAUAUCUUUGAAUCAUUGUGUAGUUGAUUGGCAUGGAGGUGUUCACAGUAACAUAGCUAUUUUUUGUCAUGUAUAAAGAGUCAUCGGACCAAAGCCUGAAAAGGCCAGGAUCAUCGUUGGGCGAAAUGGAUUUGCCCUCAACAUUCAAUCGAUACGCCAUCUCAAGUGCGGUGUCAUUCUCAACAGGGAAUGGAUAACUGUGACCAAUGAAAGGGACAUACCCUGAGUCAGGCGGUGUGUAGUAAAGAUUGGUAGGCAUCGACACGAUCUCAAUUCCAUUAAUGAAAGCGUAAGUAUCGUUUGAAGCACUACGAGAUGGAGUGAAAACAAGGUCCAACACCUCAUUAUCUUCCACGUUCAAAUAGAAUUCUCUGGGAAACCAAUUUCUCCCCUUUGAAUUUGCAACAAGGGAAGCACUGAAAUUUUUUAGCAAAGUGAAAGAACCAGCUUUGACAGGGAAAAAGGCCUUGGAUCUGUCGUAUUCUUUAUAGGACUCUGCAUGGAAGUAGAGAAGAACAAAUUUCUGGCCUGGAGUAACAGGGAAAGUGUACUUGAAUUCGGAACGGGAAACUCGGACCGUCAUAUAAGGCACGGUUUCAGAACCGUCUUGAGUAUUAGCUUCGUAGGCUUGCGAUUUGUUGUGGGAUGAUUUGAAAGGUCCAAAUUUUGAAGUCUUGUCUGCUGCCCAAGAUCUGCCAUCAUUAGCUAAUAAGUCAGUUGUAGCUCCACAGUUCAAGGUGAUAUUAUCUGUUGGAACGUAUGCAGGCUGCUCUGAUGCAACAAAAAUGACUGACUGAAGGAUGGUUAUGAGAAUUAUUACGAGUACUUCUCCAUGAAAACAAUUGAAAACUGACUAUGAGUAUAUUUGUCUAUGUAAAUAUAUGUUGAUUGAAUGGGAACAUGUUUUAUCGGUAUAUUUGCAAAUUCAUACAGCUUUUUGUUUAUAGGUUACGAGUCUUUCUUUUCUUUUUUCUUUUUUAUAUAUUGCUUCAAAUUAAAGCUAGAUGAUUGGAAAGUUAAAUAGAAAAGGUAAUCGCGAAACUCGUUUGAAUUAAAUAUAUUUUCACAAAUAAGAUUGACCGAAGGUCAACUACUUAACUAAUUGAUUUAAAAUGGGAUAAUAUCACGUUUGGUAUCUAUACUUUUAUAAAAUAUUUAAUAUGAUACAUAAAUUAUCAAUAUGUGUUAUUAUGUUACCUAGAGUUAACAACCGUAGUGAGUUAUUAAAUUAACCAAUGGAAAUUCGAUAUGUAGAAUUUUUUUUCAAAUCAUUAAAUCCACAUGAAUAAUGUAAUGUUAUGUGAAAAAUUAAAUAAAAUAAAAAAUUAAAUUGAAAAAAAAAACAAAUAGCUAAACAUAUGGUUAAUAAAAAAAGAAGUGAAUACUAAACUAACAUGAAAAUACUUGUAUUUUUUUAUGUAUAAUAAAAAUAUUAUUUAAACAUAAAUUCAAAAUAUUAUUUUAAAUGAAAAAUUCUUCGAAUAAGAUGAUCAUAUGCUUAAAUGGAGAAGAUGAAGUUUUAGCUUAGUUAUUUGUUUUUUAAAUUUAAUUUUUUGUUUUUUUUUGUUUUUUAAAUUAUUCACAUAAUGUUGUAUUAUUCAUGUGGACUUAAUGAUUUGGAGGAAAAAAUCUACUAAUUGAAUUUUUUUGAUGGUUUAGCAAUUCACUAACGUUGUUAACACUAGGUACUAUUAUAAAACACAUAUUGAUAGUUAGGUACCACAUUAGACAUUUUAUAAAAGUAUAUGUAUCAUAAUAAAAUACAUGUUAAUAGUUCAAAUACCACAUUGGACAUUUUCAAAGUACAAUUACAAUAUUGAACAUUUAUAAAAGUACAUUUAUUAAAUGUGACAUUAUCUCGAUUAAAAUUAACUGUAUGAUUCAAAAGUUGAAAUCAGUUUGAAAUUAAAAAAUUAUCAAAACUUUUUAAAAAUUUUAUCUAAAUUGCAAUGAGGCCUUGGUGCUGUUUGUCAAGGUGGAGGUUUUUGGUAUUUGAGAAACCAAAUCCAAGUUUUAUUAUAUGUAAUUAGGAUGUGUGGAUAUUUAGUUACAUUAUGUACGCACGUCAUGUAUGAAUUUUGUCUAAUUCUUUUUAGUUCUUUGCAUUGUGUUUUAUAUUAUUUUGAUUCUAAGAAGUAUAAUUCCUCAAACUAUUAUUUGUAUUUAUAUUAUUCUUGUGAAUGUAUUAUAUUUAUAAUAUUAAGACUUUCAAAAGUAUUAUCUAAAUUGAACCCAAAUAAUUUUGGACUUAAACGAGGCCACCAACUUUAUCUAUAAAAUGAUGCAUUUAAUCAUUUUAACUAGUUUUAAUUUAAUAACAAGCGUUUAAAUUAUACCAUUUAUUUUAGUUAGGUAAUUAAAAAUUUCUUUAUCGAACUAGAUACUUAAAUUUAAAUAUAGUUUUAAAAUUUAAUUCCGUAAAUCGAGUCAGUAAAAAUAUAAAUAGAAGGAUUUACUAUAUUAGUAUCAAAUAUAUUAAAAAAAAAGUUAAGAAAUUAACUCAAAAAAAUUAUUAAUUAAUGUUUAGAGACUAAAUUAUAAAAAUAUAAUCGCUAUGAAAUUUUAAUUUGAAAAAUACUUAAUAACCUAAUUAGCAAUUAACGAAAAGAAGUAAUAAUUAUUUACCCAUUAAAUUAGUAUGAGAUAGUGGAUGAGUACAAUCAUUUCCAACCAUUUUCAUUAACCAUGUUAAUUAUUUAUUAUUAUCAAAAGUUAGAUAAUUAAGAAGCUUAAUUAACUUUAAUUGCAUGUAUAAAAACAAAACAAGUGGGAAAGAGAAUAAGACCAACAUCUUAUUAUUUAGAAUUGUGCCGUCCAUGCCCUAAGAAGAAGAAGAAAGACCUUUCAAGCUUUUUAACAAAAAUUAGUUUUAAUUAGUUAAGGUAAGAGAGGUUUUCCUAGAUGAUUUUUAUAGAACUUAAAUCAUUUGAGCCUAUUAAGUCAUGCCCAAGCAUUUGAUUAUCCAAUUUGUUAGUUUAGCUACCGUUAGUUAAUAAUGAUGAAAUUAAACUUGAAUUUGAUUAAAAAAAAAUAGUUUUUCAACUUAGAUUUUACUAAGAUUGUAUUAGAAUAUCAUGGAACUAGCUUAGAAUUAAAGGUUUAGUUAACUUUGAUAUUAGGAACUAAAUUGAAUAAAUUGAAAUUUAUUGAGAAAUUAUGCUAUAGAUUAGAAGUAUAAGGUCCUUAAUGAAAGAAUAUAAAAUUAGAUUAUGAUUCUAUAUUAAAUACCAAAAAAUAUGAACGUUUCCAAUAUAAGGCCUAAAAUGAAUAAAAUGCAACAUAUGUUUGAUUAUAUGUUUUUGUGUGUUUGGGUGGAAACUAAUAUCAUUUUUAUUAUUGAAUUAUCGAAUGUAGCUGAAGACAACAUCAUGUCGUCUCGAAAUAAAGGAAAGAUGAAAGUUGUAGAUGAGUAACUAAUAUGGUUUGUACUUUUAUGAUUUGAAUUCAAUAUAUAUGUCUUAUUACAAACUAGCUUGUUUAAGGUAUGAAUCCUAAUUUUCUCAUUAUUUGGUUUGUAUAUGAUGAUAUGAAAUGUUAUGAUUUAAAUUGAGAUGACCAUGGCAUAAAUGAGUAUUAUAUAAAACUAUGAUUUGUGAUAAUGUAAAUAUAUAUGUGUUUAAACAUUCUUUACCUUCUUAAUGGUCUAGUGUCAUCGACCGUGUAUCAAAGUUCGUGACCAUUGCACACAGAACAUUUUAUGGAGGUCAACUAAUUAAAUGAGGCUCUUUCGACCCACUUAAACUAGCCUGAUUCGUGGAACACAUGGAGAAUGUAACACUCCAAACUUGAUCCUCAAGUAAGAUCCAAGAAUGUCGUGUCACUAUUUUAAAACCAUUAUCUUUAAAGCUAUUUCUGGCACAAACUAAUUAAACUAUAGUGUAAGUUGUUAUGAAAUAUAAACCAUUUGUUGUACAGGACUACAUGAAAUAGUACAUUUCAAAAGAAAGAAAACAUAAAUACUUCACUGUAAUUUCAGUAAAAUCAUACUUUCAUGAACAUAAGUUUAAAUACGAGAUUCAUUCUUCAAAAUUAAACAUCUUGACAUUACCCUCAUGUCAUGCAUAAUACAAAACACUAGAAAUCUCACAACAGCAAUUGUCUUCUAGCGUAGUCCUCAGAAAUUCCUUUACUUCAAUAACAAGCCUAAGAAUGAAAGGUAACUAAGUAAGUUCAAAGAACUUAGUGAGUUCCCAUAGAAAUCAUAUCAAAUAUUUACUAUUACCCCAAACGGGUCAAUUCAAAGAGUUAAACAAUCACACAAUAUGCUAGAUGACGAGUACCAUACAUAAACAAUCUAGACACCUGUUACCUUUUCUUGGACGUAUUCAGUACGCCUAUAACACCAAACAGAAAAACUUUCUUCAUGUUAACCAGGUACUCAAAUCCUUUAGUAAGAGUCAUAUCAUUCAUUUCCUUUGUUGUGAUUUGUCAAUCUGGUUUACAACAUGUAAUUGCCCUACUAGAGGCUACACAAUCAUUUUCAUGUAUCGCGAUCUACCAGUCAAUGUGUAUUGAAGGCAAUUCCAUGAAUAUAUUUUCCUUAAUCAUCAUUUUCAUGAUUUCGUUCAUAUCAUUCUUGCCAGAAUAGAAGGUAGUGUCUUAAACAUGAAGAAUAGUUCAUACUCUUUAUCACAGACAAACCAAAACCAAACUAACUACUCCAAACAAUCAUCCUUCAUGUACAGACAUCUUGCCUUUAUAGAGUAUGAAUACUUACCUUAACCAAAGUAUAAACAAAGACAAAACAUACAUGAAAGCAAGAAGGAACUCACUAAGAAAAACACCAAGUCUAAACAGUAGGACCUUUGCCUUUAUCAUGAGGACCUUUAAGAUUUUCUUGAGCUAUAAUCUAGAUAGUUAAACUUAUCACAUUACUAUACCAGAAAUUAAACAUGCUUGUAAGAAACAUUAGCAUAAAACCUAGAAUCAAGAAGUUUCCUUCCUUACAUACACAUCUGACACUAAAGCAUGUAGCUCUAAAAUCACUUAAAUAACCAAGAAAAUAACCUAGAGUUCAUCGAUAGUUACCAAGGUGCUAAAACGAACGAAGUAGAUGGCUGAAUACGGUGAACCCAACUUCAAGUAGAUUUGUAGUCUUAAGUUUCAGAGAGAGUGAGAGUAAAGAAAAUUUGGAAGGAAAAUAGAUGCAAAGAAGACGUAAUACUUAUCUAAGAAGUCACUACUAACUUUACACAACUAAGCAUGAAAGUAAGGUUUAGUGGAAAAGUCAAAUUAUCCCACUAACCCUCCAUCGAUACCUGUGACUAAGUACUUUCAUAAUAAUUUUAGUCUUAUUAACUACAGUAACUUAUUUCCAUUUUAACCAGUCCUCAUUAGACUAACUAAAUCGUCCCACCAAAAAAUAAUAAGUAAUUCUAUCAAUUAAAAACUUAACUUCAACACCUAAACAACUGGGAUGGCAUAUACUCCACAGGAGAGUUUGCCAAACCACCAAGCUCGCCAAACACAACAUUUGCCCAAUUAGCGCAUUCACAAAAUCUUAUACUUAGUCAAAACUAAUAGCUUACUCAUUCAAAAUUCAUUUUAAAUAUCAUAUCUCAUUAAACAGUAACUGGAUACUAGGACUUCGUUGGGUGGGCUGUUAUAGAGAAACCUAUCUACUUGAAGCCUUGGUGGCCCAGUGAAACUAGUAAAACUAGGGUUACUGGGGUAAUUACUAUAAAUCUUAAGCGAUAAAUAUGUAUAGAGUUUAAAACCUUUAGGACACUAGAUAGGCAUUAAUCUUAGUGGUUGAUGUAAUUCAAUCUAUAACAUUGGAUUUGGGGGAGCUCAACUACAAAUAAAGGUCUUGACCCUCAUUUGUAAUGGUCCCAUUGUAUUUCAUUCUUGAGAUAAAGAAUAUUUUGAGAGUGUUUACUCAAACACAUGGUGUGCAUUGCUUUCUUGUGGCUUUUUCAAUUUUCUCGUUGCUCUUUUACUUUUGAGUUUGCUUCAACUUUAUUUUUGGCGCCUUAGAGAAUUUUCGGGAGAAUUCUAACUUUUUGAGUGUUAGGUUGACUUAGGCAAAUUUGAAGCAAAUAAAUCGCCCAAGGCCAUGCGGUUUGCCAGAUUUAAGUUCUAGCAAAGAAGGUCAUUUGGUUAAAAGCCAAGAACAAUAAUGAUCUGUCUAUCCAAAAGCCCAGGUGUGUUUUCGGUAAAGGGUUUAUUGCUAUAAAUAUCACAAACUGGCUCGAUUUUUAAAAUUUUAAUUUUUCGUUGUGCGAGAAAACUAUUUUCAAACCUAUUUUUUUCCAAUAGGUGGAGAUGUUGGUCUUGUAAAUUUUCAAGACACAAAUAAUUAUAAAGUUUCACCUUGUGGCAUAGAUAAUUAAUAUAGCUUUGUUGAAAGUUUAAAAAUUAGGGAUGAGGUACAAGUCUAUAGUAUUUGAGUUACUCAUUAUGGAAACUCAACUCAACACUUUAUAUAACAUCAAGUCUCGAGUUCAAUGAGACAAUAUACAUCAUUAGUAUGUGACUGCUAGCACUAUAAAAUAAUAUAUAAUAUAUUAUUGUGAGAAAAAAUAAAAUAAAAAUAAAAAUAAAAACACACACAAAUUUUACAUGGAAACCCUUUUGGGAAAAAACUACGGGCAAAGCAGAAGAAAAUUCACUAUGUCGAAAAUUUGAAUCAAUACAAGAGGAAUAGACUAUGUCUAUUAAAGCUAUAUUCUAGUAGGAUUGAAACACCUUAUCCUAAUCAAUAUAAAAUAGAUAGAGUUUAAUAAGGUUUAAAAAAUCUUAUUCUAAAAUAAAAUAAAAGAAGUCUAGUUCUAUAUGGAUUUUACUUUUAUUUUAUUUUUCAUCGUAUUUUAUUUAAAUAAGAAUUUGGGUCACUUAAUUCUAACAUAUUACAAAGUACAAAAUGUUAGGUACUCGUAACCAUUGCCUGAUCAAAGAGAAUGAUAGCAUUAAAAAAAUAAUUAUAUAUUUUAACCUAAAAUAAAAAGGUUUUAAUUUAAUCUAAGCCAUUUAUAUAUUUUGGUCUAAUAGUUAUAAAAUAAUUAAUUUUACACCAUACAUAUUAUUAAGUGAUAUUUUUCGAAAAUGCAUGCAUCUAUUACUUUUUCUUUCCAAACUCAAAAGGCAACCAAUGGCUCUCUCUUAUCGUCUAUGGUUAGGUGAUUUCCACUUCAACAAGGUUACAGAGAUAAAAAUAAAAGCAAAUUACAUUUAUAGUCUUCGUGCAUUUAAUACAUCAAAUACAAACCCUUAAUAGAGAUCACGAAGACUAAAGCAUGAAAUUAGUUCAACACACCUAAUUUACUAAUUAGCAAAAAGAAAAGAAUUUAAGAGAUGGCUGCAUGAAGUCUCCAACAUUUAUUUUCUAAUUUCCUAUGCUUUUUGUGUUGUUGGUGCUGGAGAAGGUGUCCACUGAUGUGCUUGAAUCAAUAGUAGGAUAAGUCAGUCCAGUAGUAUCUGAAUCUAAUAACCCUACUCUGCAUACAUUUGAAUCCAACUCCGAAUCCACCUUUGAUUCAUCGACGAAGUCCAUGCCCCGAGCAACGAGGAACACUAUAUCCGGGUAGCUACACUCACUUACCGGCUCCAUCUUCGAUAUCUCGGCAUCAGCAGCCUUUUGCAACUCUAUAGCAAACCCCAACCUUUCCAUCACAUCAUUCAUUGAUGGCCUAUUGGUUCCAACAUCUGCUAUGCAACUUUCUGCAAUUUCGACAAACACCUUAAAACACUCUGGAGCUAUCUUUCCAAUCAAAUAUGGAUCAAUAACCUUGUACAGUGUCCCAUCUGCAAUGCAUUGCUUGGCCCAAUGUGCUAGGCUCAUUUGAGCUUCGGGCAAUUUCGUAUUCACAGCUUUUCUUGCUGUUAAGUUUAGUUCCCAUGUAAAGGUGGCCAUGCACGACAUGCAAAGGUGGUCAUGCUCGAAGAAAUAGCAGCAAGCAGUGGUGCCAUGGUGUGCAGCAACUGAAGUUUGAAGCUGCCAAUCCACUUGCUAUUUUUUAGUUCCAUUUUGAUUGUUUUGUAAUCUAGUUCAUGUUGAACUAAGUAGGUAAAUGUUUUGACAUUGAUUGACUGAAAAGUCAGCAAUGCAAGUUGUACAAGCUAAUCUUGUAAGUUUCAAUGCAAAUUAGUGGAGUUAGGUAGUUGAUUAGGUGAUUACUUGUUUGUUUUACUUGUUGACAGAAAUAUGUAAUGGCUUAAUGCCUUGUUGAUGUGUUAAUGAAAAAGAUCAGCUCAUUUUUCAUUCAAUCUUCUUCUCUCUUUUCUGUUAUUCACUAGCUAGUUUCACUUUCUGUUUUGCUUCUGAGUUUGUUUCUUCACCAAGGCUCGAGACUUGCUAUUCAAGCAAGACACAAAACAGCCUGCUAUUGUCUUAUUGUUCCAACAAUUGGUAUCUAAAGCCGUUGUCUUAGUGGACCUGUUGCUUCAAACUAAGGAACCUGAUGGCUUCUUCAGGAUUUUCACCAGCAGCCCCACCAGUCUUCAAUGGAGAAAGCUUUCAUAUAUGGCUGGUAAAGAUGAAGACUUACCUGCAGGCCUUUGAUCUGUGGGAAGUUGUUAACACAGAUGCUGAGCCAGCACCACUGAGGGCUAAUCCCACAGUAGCUCAGAUCAGACAACAUGCUGAUGAGAGGACCAAAAGGCACAAAGCCAUGUCCUGCAUUCAGAACUGUGUAUCAGAUGUCAUCUUUACCAGAAUUAUGGCCUGUGAGACUCCAAAACAGGCCUGGGACAAGCUUAAGGAGGAGUUUCAAGGCACUGAGAGAACAAGGCAACAGCAGCUGUUGAAUUUGAGAAGGGAUUUCGAGAAUUUGAAGAUGAAGGAAGAAGAAACAGUGAAGCAGUAUUCAGAUAGAAUUAUGGCAGUGGUUAACAGUAUAAGGCUCCUAGGUGAGCACUUUGAUGAGGCAAGAAUUGUGGAGAAAGUCCUCUCCACUUUGCUUGAGAAAUAUGAAGCAAAGAUAUCCUCCCUAGAGGACUCAAGAGACCUUGCUAGCAUUUCUUUGACUGAGUUCAUCAACACCUUCUAUGCUCAGGAACAAAGGAGAGCUAGCAGAGCUGAAGAUCACCAAGAAGGUGCAUUUCAAGCCAAGGCCAGAGAAGCCUCGAGCACCAAUGCUCAAAGAGGCAAAAAGCCUUGGAAAAACAGGUCUAAGCCUGAUACUGCAAGGAGUAAUGACCAGCCCUGCAGACAUUGCAAGAGGCCAGGUCAUCCAGAAGACAGAUGCUGGUUUAGGCCAGAUGCAGUAUGCCAACACUGCAAGAAGAAGGGCCAUGUUGAAAGGGUCUGUAAAAACAGGAGUAAGCCAAGGCAGAAUCAAUUUCAGCAGUCAAAGGUUGAAGCUCGAGUAGCUGAGGACAGUAGUGACCAAGAAGAACAGGUCUUUGCUGUUUCCUGCCUAGCUGUUGAGAAGAAAUGCUCAAAAGGCUGGUUGUUGGACAGUGGUUGCACUAACCACAUGUCACCAGAUGCCUCCUUGUUUAAAACCUUGGAUAGAAGUUAUAAAACCAAGGUCAAUGUUGGAAAUGGUCAGUUUAUAAGGGCUGAAGGAAGAGGAGAAGUGCUGAUAUGUACUCCCACUGGCAACAAGAUCAUUCCAAAUGUGCUGUUAGUGCCAGAGAUUGACAGAAACCUUCUCAGCAUAGCUCAACUGCUCGAGAAAGGUUAUUCUGUUGUGUUCAAGGACAAACAAUGCCACAUUACUGAUCCAAGUGGAUCAAGCCUUAUGACAGUCACAAUGACUGAUAAAUGCUUUGAGGUUCACUGGGCUAAUGACUCAAACUCAGCAUACACAGCCUCUGUUGAUGACUCCAAGCUUUGGCAUCAAAGGCUUGGACAUGCCAACUUCAGAUCAAUGGCUCGAAUGGCCAAAGAAGGCUUGGCAGAGAACUUCACCAGCUCAGUGGAGCAUGAUGAUGUGUGUGAAGUUUGCCAGAUGGGGAAACAGGCUAGACUGCCAUUUCCUACAGAUUCAGCUUGGAGAGCUACUGAAAGACUGCAGCUGGUGCACUCUGAUGUAUGUGGCCCGAUGAGGACUGAAUCACUCAGCAAAAACAGGUAUUUCAUCCUCUUCAUUGAUGAUUUUACAAGGUUUUGCUGGAUUUUCUUCUUAAAACACAAGUCUGAAGUAGCUCAAGUGUUUGUGAAGUUUAAAAAUGCUGUAGAGACAGAAACAGGUUGCAAGCUGAAAUCGAUAAGGACAGACAAUGGCACUGAGUACACUUCAGCUCAGUUUCAAGCCAUUUGCAAUGAUGCUGGUAUCAAACAUCAGCUUACAAAUGUCUACACACUUCAGCAGAAUGGGGUAGCUGAAAGAAAGAACAGAAGCCUGAUGGAUAUGGCCAGAUGUCUCCUGUUUGAAAAGAAACUGCCCAAGACCAUGUGGGCUGAGGCAGUAAACACUGCUGUUUACCUUCAGAACAGGCUUCCUACCAAAGCUCUUGCAUCCGAGACACCUUUCGAGGCUUGGUUUAGUUUCAAGCCUUCCUUGGCACAUCUGAAGGUGUUUGGUUGCCUGUGUUAUGCACAAAUACCAGCAGCAAAGAGAGACAAGCUCUCUAAAAGGGCUCAACCAGGUGUUCUAGUAGGCUACAGCUCAGUCAAGAAGGGCUACAGGGUUCUGGAUCCCUUGACAAACAAAGUCCAGGUGAGCAGAGAUGUCAUCUUUGAUGAAAAAGCCUACUGGAAUUGGGAGAAAAAUGAGCCAGAAGCAGUUUCAGAAGACCUAGUGCCUAAUCAAGCUAAACUUGAGCAGCUAGGACCUGAAAUGGAUGUUGAUGAUGUGCCUGUGAGAGGCACAAGGCCCCUAGAUGAUAUUUAUGAAAGGGCACAGGUUGCAAUAGCAGAACCUAGCAGUUUUGAAGAGGCUGAGGCAGAUGAAGGCUGGAAACUAGCUAUGCUCAAUGAAAUCAACAUGAUUGAGAAAAACCAGACAUGGGAGCUGGUUGAUAAACCUACUGGAAAGAAGACCAUUGGAGUAAAAUGGGUCUAUCGAGUAAAACAGAAUGCAGAUGGCAGUCUGAACAAGCUAAAAGCCAGGCUUGUUGUCAAAGGAUUUAGCCAAAGGUAUGGUCUGGAAUACCUGGAGACAUUUGCACCAGUAGCCAGGCUUGACACAGUUAGAAUGAUAGUUGCCUUGGCUGCUCAACAUCAGUGGACCAUUCAUCAGCUUGAUGUUAAGUCUGCAUUUCUCAAUGGUUUCCUGGAAGAAGAAAUCUACAUCGAGCAGCCUCAAGGAUUUGUGAUCACUGGCAAAGAACACAUGGUGUACAGACUGAAAAAGGCUUUAUAUGGCCUGAAACAGGCUCCUCGAGCCUGGUAUGCUCGAAUUGACUCUUAUUUGCUCAGUUUGGAAUUUGAGAGAAGUCCCAGUGAACCAACACUGUAUGUGAAGAAGAACCAAGCUGAGACUCAGCUUAUCCUGUCACUCUAUGUUGAUGAUCUAUUGGUAACUGGAGGAGAUAGAAGAAUGCUGGAAGAUUUCAAAAGAAAAAUGAUGGAAAUGUUUGAAAUGUCUGAUUUAGGCAGAAUGAACUACUUCCUUGGAAUGGAAAUGAGGCAAACAGAAAAGGGAAUCUUUCUUAGUCAGAGUUCUUUUACUAUGAAGAUCCUGGAUAAGUUCUCUAUGAAGAACUGCAAGCCAACAAGCACACCAAUGGCUGUUGGAGUGAAGCUUUCGAGGCAAGGGAGUGGUGAACCAAUUUGCGAGACCAUGUACAAGAGUCUCAUUGGUAGUCUGUUGUAUUUGACUGCAACAAGACCCGAUAUCAUGUUUGCUGUUAGUGUGCUAUCGAGAUACAUGAAUUGCUGCAAUGAUCAGCACUUUCAAGCAGCUAAAAGAGUGCUAAGAUACAUCAAAGGCACCAUUGAUCAUGGUGUAUUGUUCAAAAGGGCUGAAAACAUGAAGCUGAUAGGCUAUGUUGAUAGUGACUGGGCUGGAUCGAGUGAUGACAUGAGGAGCACAUCUGGAUAUGCAUUUAGUCUUGGCUCAGGCAUGUUUUGCUGGAGUUCUAAGAAACAAAGUCAGGUGGCACAAUCAACAGCAGAAGCUGAAUAUGUUGCUGCUGCAUCUGCUGUGAAUCAAGCCAUAUGGCUUAGAAAAAUCUUGGCUGAUUUAAACCAAAACCAAAAGGAGGCAACAGAGAUUUAUUGUGACAACAAAUCUGCUGUUGCAAUUGCAAAAAAUCCCGUUUUUCAUGGCAGAACUAAGCACUUCAAUAUUAAGUUGCAUGUUAUAAGGGAGAUGGAACAAGCUCAUGAAAUCGAGCUGAUUCAUUGCAAUUCAGAAGUGCAAAUUGCUGAUAUCUUCAAAAAGGCACUCAAUGUGUCUAAAUUUGUUAAAUUCAAAAGGGAAUUAGGUGUUACUAGCAUGGAAACUAAGGAGGAGUGUUAAGUUUAGUUCCCAUGUAAAGGUGGCCAUGCACGACAUGCAAAGGUGGUCAUGCUCGAAGAAAUAGCAGCAAGUAGUGGUGCCAUGGUGUGCAGCAACUGAAGUUUGAAGCUGCCAAUCCACUUGCUGUUUUUUAGUUCCAUUUUGAUUGUUUUGUAAUCUAGUUCAUGUUGAACUAAGUAGGUAAAUAUUUUGACAUUGAUUGACUGAAAAGUCAGCAAUGCAAGUUGUACAAGCUAAUCUUGUAAGUUUCAAUGCAAAUUAGUGGAGUUAGGUAGUUGAUUAGGUGAUUACUUGUUUGUUUUACUUGUUGACAGAAAUAUGUAAUGGCUUAAUGCCUUGUUGAUGUGUUAAUGAAAAAGAUCAGCUCAUUUUUCAUUCAAUCUUCUUCUCUCUUUUCUGUUAUUCACUAGCUAGUUUCACUUUCUGUUUUGCUUCUGAGUUUGUUUCUUCACCAAGGCUCGAGACUUGCUAUUCAAGCAAGACACAAAACAGCCUACUAUUGUCUCAUUGUUCCAACACUUGCACAUAACAAUUCAAAUAACACAACACCAAAUGCAUAUACAUCUAAUUUUUCGGUUAAUUUAUGACCCCGAGCAUACUCCGGGUCCAUGUAUCCGCGGGUUCCCUUUAUUCCUGUUAUGAGCACCUCUGCUUUGGGGUCUUCUUUCGACAACCCAAAAUCAGAAACCUUGGCAGUAAACUUAUCAUCUAGAAGAAUAUUGUUUGUCUUCACAUCACGGUGGAUAACAGUAUGCCUCACUUCUGUAUGAAGAUAGUUCAAUCCAGUUGCAGCUCCCUUGCAAAUCUCAAGCCUUUGCUUCCAUGUGAGAGGAUCAUAGGCAAAGCUAGUACCGUAAAGAUGAUCUGAGAGAGUCCCAUUACUCAUAAAAUCAUACACCAGAAUCAUCUCUCGUUUCUCAUUGCAGUAUCCGAUUAAGGACACCAAAUGAACAUGGCAGAGCUGAGACAACAUCUCAAUCUCUGUUAAGAACUCUCGAAUACCUUGACUGGAUUCUGGAUUCAGGCGCUUGAUUGCAACUAUCUUUUCACCUUCAUCCAUGAAACCUUUGUAUACUUUCCCAAACCCACCUUUCCCAACAACUAAAUCAUCAUGGAAAUUGUUGGUAGCAGCUUUGAUCUCAUCCAGUGAAAAAUGGCGGCAUAGUUCAUCUGGUAACAGUGAGGUCCUUGUGGAUUUCCCUUCGUUUUGAUUUAUCCACCAGCAAAGCAAACUUGUUCCCUUUCUUUGCCGCCGAACAGCCAUGUAAACCAGUAAAGAAAUUAUGGCAAUCAAACCAGCCGCACAUCCGACACCAGCAAUUAGCAAGCUUCUCUUCUUGGAUUUUGCACCUGCAGAAUUGGACGAAUCCGAAGGUGUUGGUUCGCCCAAAUUUCCGUCAUAGUUGCUCAACUUGAACACUUCAAUCCUAUUUAAGAUAACAUCAUAGUACUUUGCAUGAAUAGGAUGCAAAUCUAUGGUGAUGUACUCCUUUGAUACUGACACGACAUAAUCCUUACGGAUCGGAACACCGACAUGCCUAGUCCAUGUAAUCACAUCAGUAUUUUCUCUAGCCGUCUGACUGUUUAUAAGACCUUAAACGUCCGGUCUCCCGGAGAGUUUAUCAGAUCUUGUGAUUCACAGAAAUGAAGCCUCACCAUAUACUGGAAUCCCGAACCCACGGGCAAUCUCCAUGACAAGUUAUGCUUCUCGGUGUACACAAGACUAGGGCCCAUUGUCCGUGCAGUCCAAUAAACCAUCUCCGGUGCCGUAUAUCUUUGAAUCAUUGUGUAGUUGAUUGGCAUGGAGGUGUUCACAGUGACAUAGCUAUUUUUUGUCAUGUAAAAAAAGUCAUCGGACCAAAGCCUAAAAAGGCCAGUAUCAUCGUUGGGCGAAAUGGAUUGGCCCCCAACAUUCAAUCGAUACGCCAUCUCAAGUGCGGUGUCAUUCCCAACAGGGAAUGGAUAACUGUGACCAACGAAAGGGACAUCCAAAGAGUCAGGCGGUGUGUAGUAAAGAUUGGUAGGCAUCGACACGAUCUCAAUUCCAUUGAUGAAAGCGUUAGUAUCAUAUGAAGCACUACGAGAUGGAGUGAAAACAAGGUCCAACACCUCAUUAUCUUCCACGUUCAAACAGAAUUCUUUGAAAAACGAUUUAACAUCCUUUGAAUCUGCAACAAGGGAAGCACUGAAAUUUUUUAGUAAAGUGAAAGAACCAGCUUUGACAGAGAAAAGGGCCUUGGAUCUGUCGUAUUCUUUAUAGGACACUGCAUGGAAAUAGAGACGAACGAAUUUCUGGCCUGGAGUAACAGGAAAAGUGUACUUGAAUUCGGAACGGGAAACUCGGGCCGUCAUAUACGGCACGGUUUCGGAACCGUCUUGAGUAUCAGCUUCGUAGGCUUGAGAUUUGAUGUGGGAUGAUUCGAAAGGUCCAAAUUUUGAGUUCUUGUCUGCUGCCCAAGAUCUGCCAUCAUUAGCUAACAAGUCGGUUGUAGCUCCACAAUUCAGGGUGAUAUUAUCUGUUGGAACGUAUGCAGGCUGCUCUGAUGCAACAAAAAUGGCUGACUG